UGCCAGACUCCUACGGGAGGCAGCAGUGGGGAAUAUUGGACAAUGGGGGGAACCCUGAUCCAGCGACGCCGCGUGAGUGAAGAAGUAUUUCGGUAUGUAAAGCUCUAUCAGCAGGGAAGAAAGAAGUGACGGUACCUGACUAAGAAGCCCCGGCUAACUACGUGCCAGCAGCCGCGGUAAUACGUAGGUGGCAAGCGUUAUCCGGAUUUACUGGGUGUAAAGGGCGUGUAGGCGGGGAAGCAAGUCAGAUGUGAAAACCACGGGCUCAACCUGUGGCCUGCAUUUGAAACUGGGUGUCUUGAGGGCAGGAGAGGAAAGUGGAAUUCCUAGUGUAGCGGUGAAAUGCGUAGAUAUUAGGAGGAACACCAGUGGCGAAGGCGACUUUCUGGACUGUACCUGACGCUGAGGCGCGAAAGCGUGGGUAGCGAACGGGAUUAGAUACCCUCGUAUA
rnacentral:rRNA from 1 species